rnacentral:rRNA from 1 species
GGCGUGCUUAACACAUGCAAGUCGAGCGGAAAGGCCCUUCGGGGUACUCGAGCGGCGAACGGGUGAGUAACACGUGAGCAACCUGCCCUAGGCUUUGGGAUAACCCCGGGAAACCGGGGCUAAUACCGAAUACGACCUUCCACCGCAUGGGGUUGGGUGGAAAGUUUUUCGGCCUGGGAUGGGCUCGCGGCCUAUCAGCUUGUUGGUGGGGUGAUGGCCUACCAAGGCGACGACGGGUAGCCGGCCUGAGAGGGCGACCGGCCACACUGGGACUGAGACACGGCCCAGACUCCUACGGGAGGCAGCAGUGGGGAAUAUUGCACAAUGGGCGGAAGCCUGAUGCAGCGACGCCGCGUGAGGGAUGACGGCCUUCGGGUUGUAAACCUCUUUCAGCAGGGACGAAGCGUAAGUGACGGUACCUGCAGAAGAAGCGCCGCCCAACUACGUGCCAGCAGCCGCGGUAAGACGUAGGGCGCGAGCGUUGUCCGGAUUUAUUGGGCGUAAAGAGCUCGUAGGCGGCUUGUCGCGUCGACUGUGAAAACCCGCGGCUCAACUGCGGGCCUGCAGUCGAUACGGGCAGGCUAGAGUUCGGUAGGGGAGACUGGAAUUCCUGGUGUAGCGGUGAAGUGCGCAGAUAUCAGGAGGAACACCGGUGGCGAAGGCGGGUCUCUGGGCCGAUACUGACGCUGAGGAGCGAAAGCGUGGGGAGCGAACAGGAUUAGAUACCCUGGUAGUCCACGCUGUAAACGUUGGGCGCUAGGUGUGGGGGGCCUCUCCGGUUCCCUGUGCCGCAGCUAACGCAUUAAGCGCCCCGCCUGGGGAGUACGGCC